rnacentral:lncRNA from 1 species
GGCGGUCGGGUCAGACGUCCCGUCGUACAUCUUGAACUAAGGGGGUACGAACUGCUCAGAUAUGUGUACUUCCAUAAUUUCCCGUACGAACGGCACCAUGGUGGUCGACUCUUCCACCUUUACCAACGACCGGCUAUCCUUGUUCCCCCUCUCCUCUCUUCCCUCCGUCCGAGCACUACUAUUCUCCCCUUCUAACGGUAUCUGCUUCUCUCCUGCCCCCUCCCCCUGCUCACCACCG